CCUACGGGUGGCAGCAGUGGGGAAUAUUGGACAAUGGGGGCAACCCUGAUCCAGCCAUGCCGCGUGUGUGAAGAAGGCCCUCGGGUUGUAAAGCACUUUCAGUGAGGAAGAACGCCUGGUGGUUAAUACCCAUCAGGAAAGACAUCACUCACAGAAGAAGCACCGGCUAACUCCGUGCCAGCAGCCGCGGUAAUACGGAGGGUGCGAGCGUUAAUCGGAAUUACUGGGCGUAAAGCGCGCGUAGGUGGCUUGAUAAGCCGGUUGUGAAAGCCCCGGGCUCAACCUAGGAACGGCAUCCGGAACUGUCAAGCUAGAGUGCAGGAGAGGAAGGUAGAAUUCCCGGUGUAGCGGUGAAAUGCGUAGAGAUCGGGAGGAAUACCAGUGGCGAAGGCGGCCUUCUGGACUGACACUGACACUGAGGUGCGAAAGCGUGGGUAGCAAACAGGAUUAGAUACCCGAGUAGUC
rnacentral:rRNA from 1 species